GUGGGGAAUAUUGGACAAUGGGCGCAAGCCUGAUCCAGCCAUGCCGCGUGAGUGAUGAAGGCCUUAGGGUUGUAAAGCUCUUUCAGUGGGGACGAUAAUGACGGUACCCACAGAAGAAGCCCCGGCUAACUUCGUGCCAGCAGCCGCGGUAAUACGAAGGGGGCUAGCGUUGUUCGGAUUUACUGGGCGUGAAGCGCACGUAGGCGGAUCGUUAAGUCGGGGGUGAAAUCCUGGAGCUCAACUCCAGAACUGCCUUCGAUACUGGCGAUCUUGAGUCCGGAAGAGGUGAGUGGAACUCCUAGUGUAGAGGUGGAAUUCGUAGAUAUUAGGAAGAACACCAGUGGCGAAGGCGGCUCACUGGUCCGGUACUGACGCUGAGGUGCGAAAGCGUGGGGAGCAAACAGGAUUAGAUACCCGUGUAGUCC
rnacentral:rRNA from 1 species